rnacentral:rRNA from 1 species
UUGUGGGGUUGGAUGGGCCCGCGGUCCAUCAGCUAGUUGGUGAGGUAAUGGCUCACCAAGGCAACGACGGAUAGCUGGUCUGAGAGGAUGAUCAGCCACACUGGAACUGAGACACGGUCCAGACUCCGUACGGGAGGCAGCAGGUGGGAAUCUUGCGCAAGUGGACGAAAGUCUGACGCAGCGACGCCGCGUGGGUGACGAAGGCCUUCGGGUUGUAAAGCCCCUGUGGGGCGAGACGAACAGCUUCUGGUCGAACAGGCCAGGGGUUUGACGGUAUCGCCUUAGCAAGCACCGGCUAACUCUGUGCCAGCAGCCGCGGUAAUACAGAGGGUGCAAACGUUGCUCGGAAUUACUGGGCGUAAAGCGCGUGUAGGCGGUUUUAUAAGUCCGACGUGAAAGCCCGGGGCUCAACCCCGGAAGUGCGCUGGAUACUGUGAAGCUGGAGUCCUGAAGAGGAGAGCGGAAUUCCCGGUGUAGAGGUGAAAUUCGUAGAUAUCGGGAG